rnacentral:rRNA from 1 species
AUACGGAAGGUCCGGGCGUUAUCCGGAUUUAUUGGGUUUAAAGGGAGCGUAGGCGGGAGAUCAAGUCAGCUGUGAAAUGUAGAUGCUCAACAUCUGCACUGCAGUUGAAACUGGUUUUCUUGAGUGCGUAAGGGGCAGGCGGAAUUCGUCGUGUAGCGGUGAAAUGCUUAGAUAUGACGAAGAACUCCGAUCGCGAAGGCAGCCUGCCGGGCCGCGACUGACGCUGAAGCUCGAAGGUGCGGGUAUCGAACAGGAUUAGAUACCCUGGUAGUCCGCACAGUAAACGAUGGAUACUCGCUGUCGGCGAUAUACGGUCGGUGGCCAAGCGAAAGCGUUAAGUAUCCCACCUGGGGAGUACGCCGGCAACGGUGAAACUCAAAUGAAUUGACGGG